rnacentral:rRNA from 1 species
UGGGGAAUUUUCCGCAAUGGGCGCAAGCCUGACGGAGCAAUACCGCGUGAGGGAGGAAGGCUUUUGGGUUGUAAACCUCUUUUCUCAAGGAAGAACUCAAUGACGGUACUUGAGGAAUCAGCAUCGGCUAACUCCGUGCCAGCAGCCGCGGUAAUACGGAGGAUGCAAGCGUUAUCCGGAAUUAUUGGGCGUAAAGCGUCCGCAGGUGGUGAUUCAAGUCUGCUGUCAAAGACCGAAGCUUAACUUCGGGUAGGCGGUGGAAACUGAAUUACUAGAGUACGGUAGGGGUAGAGGGAAUUUCCAGUGUAGCGGUGAAAUGCGUAGAGAUUGGAAAGAACACCAGUGGCGAAGGCGCUCUACUGGACCGUAACUGACACUCAGGGACGAAAGCUAGGGUAGCGAAAGGGAUUAGAUACCCGUGUAGUCC